GGUCCGGGCCGCCCCCGGACCCCUUCUCUCUCUUUCUUCAUUUUUUUGUGGUAUUUUGUGUGUAAAUUCCGACUCCAACUGGAACAAAGUUUUUUUCUCCGAGUUUUUCUCACGUGCAUGUGUGGUUGCGGGUAGUUUUUGACUCGGUCGAGGUUUUGCGCUGCAGAAUCCUGGUUUUUUGAUGAUCAAUAUGAGCUCCUCCAAAACGUGGGUGUUAGAUUGUUGCAGUUCUAGUCCGAUAGAACUUUGGUGGGUUUUUCAUUGUGUCUAGAAUAUGGUCUUUUGGUGGUGGCGGCUGUGUUAAAGUCAUUCCAUCGGGAUUAUUGGCUAUACGGAGGUGCAGUCCAGUUUUCUUGUGUUCUUCGUCCCGUUGAGGUGCUAUGGAGCAAUAUCUUUUUGUUCUGUGAUCAGCGAAGACGCCAGUGAUUUGGCUGCGGCAAUUUUUUCUUGCAUCGUGGAGUUCUUGGGUUGCUCUCACGUGGCGUUUCUGGCGUCUCCGACUUCUUAGGCGGCGUUGUCGAUGGACUCUCUAUGUGGCGGCGUUGGAAAGGCCAAAUUUGAGUUCUGUAACUUGGCUAUCGGGAAUCAAAACUGAUCGAUCUAGCGACAACGGCAGUAGAGCGGAGUCGGGGAAGGCAGAAGUCAGAUUCAUGGUUGUUGUUUAAGGUGCCUCUGCAAAGAAGCUUGGUGUAUUCAUGAAGUGGGGAUCCAAUUGGACCAACUUGUAGUCUUCUGAGCAGUAGCGCUAAUCUUUGAUAGCUUAUUGUUAGAUGUGGAAGUGCAAUAGAGAUGCUGAUUCAAACGCCAAACUCUUAUGCAAUUGUUUAGACUUGAGCUGCGCGUUUUGGUAAUUGACGCUCGUAGUUGGAGUUUGUUGAGUUGGAUAUCUCGUAUAGUAGUUGAUCUAGUAGGGUUGCGGUGGUGGUCACCAAGAACCUCAUGUUGUGAAGCAAAGAUCACUCAAAUUGUUCUUUUUUAAGAGGUAAAUUGGUUAGAAUUGCGUCCUUGAGGAUACGCUACAUUGAUUCGUGAAGAAGAAUCUGCGGAUUACUAGUUGUGCCAAUAAUUCAUUGCAAUUUGUUUUUAAUCUUAGAUAGGUGGAAAAGAAGGAAUGUAAAGUAGUUAUUGACUUGGAAUCCUACUUGGUGUACUGGAGUAAGUUAUCACAUUGCAUUAAGAUAUUUUUCAGUC